CAGCCGCCGCGGGAAAACGAAGGGGGCUAGCGUUGUUCGGAAUUACUGGGCGUAAAGCGCACGUAGGCGGAUAUUUAAGUCAGGGGUGAAAUCCCGCAGCUCAACUGCGGAACUGCCUUUGAUACUGGGUAUCUUGAGUAUGGAAGAGGUUAGUGGAAUUGCGAGUGUAGAGGUGAAAUUCGUAGAUAUUCGCAGGAACACCAGUGGCGAAGGCGGCUAACUGGUCCAUAACUGACGCUGAGGUGCGAAAGCGUGGGGAGCAAACAGGAUUAGAUACCCGGGUAGUCCCUGUCUCUUAUAC
rnacentral:rRNA from 1 species